UACGUAGGGGGCGAGCGUUGUCCGGAAUCAUUGGGCGUAAAGAGCGUGUAGGCGGCUUGGCAAGUCUGACGUGAAAGCCCGCGGCUCAACCGCGGAUUGUCGUUGGAAACUGCCUCGCUAGAGUCCGGAAGAGGAGAGCGGAAUUCCUGGUGUAGCGGUGAAAUGCGCAGAUAUCAGGAGGAACACCGGUGGCGAAGGCGGCUUGCUGGGCCAGUUCUGACGCUGAGGAGCGAAAGCGUGGGGAGCGAACAGG
rnacentral:rRNA from 1 species